rnacentral:rRNA from 1 species
CGAUGAUCCCCAGCUUGCUGGGGGGAUUAGUGGCGAACGGGUGAGUAACACGUGAGUAACCUGCCCUUGACUCUGGGAUAAGCCUGGGAAACUGGGUCUAAUACUGGAUACGACCUUCUGGCGCAUGCCAUGUGGGUGGAAAGCUUUUGUGGUUUUGGAUGGACUCGCGGCCUAUCAGCUUGUUGGUGGGGUAAUGGCCUACCAAGGCGACGACGGGUAGCCGGCCUGAGAGGGUGGACGGCCACACUGGGACUGAGACACGGCCCAGACUCCUACGGGAGGCAGCAGUGGGGAAUAUUGCACAAUGGGCGCAAGCCUGAUGCAGCGACGCCGCGUGAGGGAUGAAGGCCUUCGGGUUGUAAACCUCUUUCAGUAGGGAAGAAGCGAAAGUGACGGUACCUGCAGAAGAAGCGCCGGCUAACUACGUGCCAGCAGCCGCGGUAAUACGUAGGGCGCAAGCGUUAUCCGGAAUUAUUGGGCGUAAAGAGCUCGUAGGCGGUUUGUCGCGUCUGCCGUGAAAGUCCGGGGCUUAACUCCGGAUCUGCGGUGGGUACGGGCAGACUUGAGUGAUGUAGGGGAGACUGGAAUUCCUGGUGUAGCGGUGAAAUGCGCAGAUAUCAGGAGGAACACCGAUGGCGAAGGCAGGUCUCUGGGCAUUAACUGACGCUGAGGAGCGAAAGCAUGGGGAGCGAACAGGAUUAGAUACCCUGGUAGUCCAUGCCGUAAACGUUGGGCACUAGGUGUGGGGGACAUUCCACGUUUUCCGCGCCGUAGCUAACGCAUUAAGUGCCCCGCCUGGGGAGUAC